rnacentral:rRNA from 1 species
UUGACCUCAAAUCAGGUAGGACUACCCGCUGAACUUAAGCAUAUCAAUAAGCGGAGGAAAAGAAACUAACAAGGAUUCCCCUAGUAACUGCGAGUGAACCGGGAAAAGCUCAAAUUUUGAAUCUGGCGGUCUUUCGGCCGUCCGAGUUGUAAUCUAGAGAAGCGUCUUCCGCGCUGG